rnacentral:rRNA from 1 species
GACGAACGCUGGCGGCGUGCUUAACACAUGCAAGUCGAACGGAAAGGCCCUGCUUUUGUGGGGUGCUCGAGUGGCGAACGGGUGAGUAACACGUGAGUAACCUGCCCUUGACUUUGGGAUAACUUCAGGAAACUGGGGCUAAUACCGGAUAGGAGCUCCUGCUGCAUGGUGGGGGUUGGAAAGUUUCGGGGAUUGGGGAUGUACUCGGGGCUUAUCAGCUUGUGGGUGGGGUAGUGGCUUACCAAGGCUUUGAGGGCUAGCCGGCCUGAGAGGAGGAACGGCCACAAUUGCACCGGGAGGCGGCAGAGGGGCAUAUGGGAGGAAGGAGGGGGGAAUAGUGCAGAAGGGGCGGGUGCGUGAUGAAGGUCCGCGGAGUGCGAAACGCUGUAAUUUGGGUUGAAGACCAGUAAGGUAUGUCACGAAGGGUGUGAGACGGCAAGGAGAAAAGAAGCAGCGGAUAACUGUG